ACGGGUGAGUAAUACAUCGGAACGUGCCCUGUAGUGGGGGAUAACUAGUCGAAAGAUUAGCUAAUACCGCAUACGACCUGAGGGUGAAAGUGGGGGACCGCAAGGCCUCAUGCUAUAGGAGCGGCCGAUGUCUGAUUAGCUAGUUGGUGGGGUAAAGGCCCACCAAGGCGACGAUCAGUAGCUGGUCUGAGAGGACGAUCAGCCACACUGGGACUGAGACACGGCCCAGACUCCUACGGGAGGCAGCAGUGGGGAAUUUUGGACAAUGGGGGCAACCCUGAUCCAGCAAUGCCGCGUGUGUGAAGAAGGCCUUCGGGUUGUAAAGCACUUUUGUCCGGAAAGAAAUCGCACUUACUAAUAUUAGGUGUGGAUGACGGUACCGGAAGAAUAAGGACCGGCUAACUACGUGCCAGCAGCCGCGGUAAUACGUAGGGUCCAAGCGUUAAUCGGAAUUACUGGGCGUAAAGCGUGCGCAGGCGGUUGUGCAAGACCGAUGUGAAAUCCCCGGGCUUAACCUGGGAACUGCAUUGGUGACUGCAGCGCUGGAGUAUGGCAGAGGGGGGUGGAAUUCCACGU
rnacentral:rRNA from 1 species